CUUUGUGGAUUUAAGGAACCCUUCGUGGAUCGAGGUUUACUACCAUAAAUUAAUAAUUUAGUUUUUUUUUUCCAUCAAGAGAGCACCAUGUGUGCUUUCUUCAAGCUUCUGCGACAUCAUUGUCAUAAAGCAAUAGGCAAAUCAUCAAUUUCUAGAGGAGAGGUGGAUGAAGCAGGAACCUCUGACAAAGAAGAUGUAGCAACAGGACCAUAUGACACAACAUGCCUAUCCUGAGAUUGCUGAUAAACAUGCAAGGAGGGAUUAGUUUGGAAAGCCAAAGGUCUUGGAGUAGGAGAAGACAAAGGUACAUGAAGUUUAGGAGAUGGAAAGGAAACCUCCCCCCUCACGAUUGGAGUUGCAUACAUUAGCCAGGUGAUGAAAAGAAUGGGGUUGACUCAAAAAAAAAAAAAAAACAUCAGCACUCACAAAAUAGUGACGAAAUUCAGGAGUAUAACAACGGUAACCUUUUUGAGUAUAUGAGUAUCCAAGGAAAAUACACUUACGAGAUUGAGGAGACAGUUAAUCUUGACCAGGAUCAAGGACAUGAACAAAAGCAACACAACCAAACACACAAGGAGUAAGUGUAUAUUUUGCUGGAUUGAGACAGUAUGUGAGUCAGAUGCUUACCAAAAUCAAACGCUUGGCUCAACAUCACUCUUGUCAUGUUUGGUUUGUAGCACAUCCUAGACAGGUUGUGUAACACCCCCCAAAAAAAAAAAAAAAAAAGAAAAAAGUUUGGCAAUAUAUUUUGAGGAUAUUUUUGUAAAUUUUUCCCCUUAAGAUAUUUCGAGUGGACUAGUGGUCCACAUUGUUCCACAACAACCCCCCCCCCCCCUUCUCUUAUCACCAUACAGUAGACCCCUCCACCUCUCUCAUCUUAUUCUUCUUUCUUCAUCUCUUAAUUCUCUCUUUCUCUUCCUCCUUUAGUAAUUGACACACUCCAUAGCCAUCUCCACCUUUCUCUCUGGGUGGUUUCUUCCUUGCAAUCUCAUAUGAAGGCUCUAGAUUUUCCCCUGUAUACUUGGCCAUCAUAAAAAAAAAAAAAAAAAGGUUCCAAGGUACUUGGUGAUGGACUUAGUAACUUGAUUGGUUGAAUGCGGUGCCCAGUUGAGGUAAACUUGGAUUGGACUGCUGAGGAUCCAACUACAUGAGAACCAGGAACGGAAAGCCCCCCCUUCCUCCCGGCUCUUUGGUCUUAAGAAUGUUGGUUUUAAGAAUGAGUGAUUGCCCUUCUCUGACUCGUCUUUGUGACGACAAGCCAGGCUGGAGGCUCCCACUUUGCAUGACACAGGUAAAUCCUUGAGUGUGUGGGUGAAACCGCUGCCAUAGGGCCAAAAGACCACAUGUAAAAGGGGUAUUGCACGACGCGUCAUUUCCUGCUGCCCAUGGGGGGAAGGGGUAAAUCCUUGAGUGUGUAGAUGAGGCUAGGCAGGGCCAAUAUACCACAUGUAAAAGAGGUAUUAUAUGACGCGUUACCCCCUGCCCCCCAUGGGGUGGAGAGGUAAAUCCUUAAGGGUAUGGGUGAGGUUGCUGCCCAUGGACUAGACCACAUGCCAAAAGAGGUACAUAUCAUGCAAUUGUGUUUGGCUUCUGACUUGUCUAUGGCGGUAUGUCUUGGUGAUAUUUCCGUCUUUGUGGCACCUUGUCAUGUGGCUUUGGAUGAGGUUUUUUGGUUUUGAAAUUGUAUGGAAAACUUUUAUGACUCACAGUGAAUGACAUGUAGUUUCAUAGUUAUUUUGGGAAGCUUGAUGCUACAUUAUGUCUAUCAUUCUUGUCGUGUUGUUAAGGAAAUUUAUUUUACAGAAUUUAAAUGGAAAUUCCCAAAUUAUAGCAUGUUUUGUAAAGUACUCAUUAUCAUUGAACUUGCAUUUCCCCCACCCCUAUUAAUUAUGCUACUUACUGGGCUUUAGCUCAUUCCACUCUCCAAUAGUUUUACAGAUAAAUUAGCUAUACAUUGGGCAUGGAGCUUAGUUUAUUGGUGGUGAUUGGAAAACUAUGCUACGUGGGAGAUUUGUGCUAUAAAUCGUUGGUGACUUAACUUACUAAAUUUAUUGAGGCUAUAGCUAAUUCUAGUAGAGGUUGGGCUCUUGAGGUUUGUUAGCCUUGGGCGUAGGCCUAGAUUUUUUGUUGAGGUUAUGUAUUUUAGAGAGGAUCGUGACUUUGUGUUUAUUUAUUUGGAGUUUUGGAUUUUUAUGUAUAUUUGGAGACACGUGAUUUGUAGUUUGUAUUGUUUGUAAAUGUGUUAUAGAGCUUUGACUUAUAUUUUGGAGAGAUCAACAUGUUUAUUUACUUUAUCAAAUGAAAAAAAAAAAAAAAAAAAAAAAAAAAAAAAAAAAAAAAUCCUCUUGAAGGCUCGGCUUUUCAUGCCUUGGACUCUUUUUGGGUUUGGGGCGUGACAGGUUGACUGCCAUGACCUGUAGUUUGUUCCAGAGUAUCUCUUUCUUUCUAAAUUCUUCCCUUGUUUCACAGUUGCAGUAACGGGUUGGUGGUCCUAAUAUGUAUGAUAUAGGUGGAAGUGCGCACUUUAUAAACAAAUGUGACAAUGGGAUUGUUUAUUCAUCGUAAUCAGGAUCCAGCGGCUGGGCCAAUUGAUCAAGUACAAGUUUGUGUUAGGAAG